CUGAGCAAACUUGACCACUCCAAAUACCAAACCCCGUUCCUUUGCCAAGUCCACGGGCAGGGUUCCGGGAGGCCUGAGCUGCAAUGUGCAGAUGAAUACUUCGUUCUGCGGGGUUUGGUGCCAAAGCCUACAGAAUACUUAGGUUCUGCUGGGGAAGUCUUGGAAGAACAGAACUUCUGUUUUUGAUAUCUCUGAGGACUUGAAGCAGCUCUUCCAGGACUUACUGGCUUUCAUGAGGUCGCUCCUGCUUUAAAAGUCUCUUGGUGGCUGACUUAUAUUAAAAAGAGGAAAAGAGCCUGUUUUGACUCCUCUGAGUUUUCUCUACUCUACAGAAGUUAUGCAAGUUAAUAAAAGAAAGAACAGCAGUGAGAAGGGCAUAGACAUGGGACUGUGGGUGUUUUUCUUCACAUUCUGUGGACAUGAGUCCUCUGGUUUGUAAAAUGAGAAGGGCAAGAUCUCCACGCCUCCUCUGGGAAAAGCAGGACACUGACCUGUAAGUCCAUGCUGAGCGCCGAGCACUGGAAGCUGUCUUUCACCCCCAUAAUGGCCCCCAGUGAAGACUUUUCCGUGGUCUUCUUGAGCAGACCAAAGAACUAAGCAAUUACAUACUGUGCUCAGUCACAAAGUCCACACAAGGCGAGGCGGGAAUUUGUACCCAGAUGCAUCUGACUCCAGAUGUAUGCAUCUUUCCCAGUCCUCCUAGGCAGCUGUAAGCACUAGUGCUUGUCAAUGAACCAGAAUUCACCAGAAUGGAAUUCAUGAGGUGCAGACUGAUAAAAAGAAGGGAGAAAGUUAAGUGCAUUCAAGACUGGCCUGGACAUUUAGAAUAAAUUGUCUUUGACAUGGACAAAUGAGAGCUAGAGUCAGAAGAGAAAUAGCCAACAGGGUAUCGUUAAGUUCCUCUUGGGUGGACCUUCCCUGUCUUAUAGCAUCUUACACUACAACAGCCUUGCUUGCUACCUGCCUACACCUAAUUACAUAGAAGUUGCUGUGAUACUUACCUAUGAUGUAAUAAUGUCAAUAAAAC
rnacentral:lncRNA from 1 species